CCAGACUCCUACGGGAGGCAGCAGUGGGGAAUAUUGGGCAAUGGGCGCAAGCCUGACCCAGCAACGCCGCGUGAAGGAAGAAGGCUUUCGGGUUGUAAACUUCUUUUGUCAGGGACGAAGCAAGUGACGGUACCUGACGAAUAAGCCACGGCUAACUACGUGCCAGCAGCCGCGGUAAUACGUAGGUGGCAAGCGUUAUCCGGAUUUACUGGGUGUAAAGGGCGUGUAGGCGGGACUGCAAGUCAGGUGUGAAAACCACGGGCUCAACCUGUGGCCUGCAUUUGAAACUGUAGUUCUUGAGUACUGGAGAGGCAGACGGAAUUCCUAGUGUAGCGGUGAAAUGCGUAGAUAUUAGGAGGAACACCGGUGGCGAAGGCGGUCUGCUGGACAGCAACUGACGCUGAGGCGCGAAAGCGUGGGGAGCAAACAGGAUUAGAUACCCGAGUA
rnacentral:rRNA from 1 species